rnacentral:lncRNA from 1 species
CCCACCAACGAUGAAGGUGGAGGUUGGUUUCCCGGACCUACAUAUCCCCCAGAGACCUGGUGUAUGAAAAUUCAAAGGAGGCUCCAAGAUGAAACCAACCUGAGGCUGGAGGCGGAGAACAACCUGGCUGUGUACAGACAGGAGGCGGAUGAAGCCACCUUGGCUCGUGUGGAUCUGGAGAGGAAGGUUGAGUCGCUGGAGGAGGAGAUCCAGUUCUUGAGGAAGAUCCAUGAGGAGGAAGUUCGAGAACUCCAGGAGCAGCUGGCCCAGCAGCAGGUCCACGUGGAGAUGGAUGUGGCCAAGCCAGACCUCACAGCGGCUCUGAGAGAGAUUCGCACUCAGUACGAGGCAGUGGCCACCAGUAACAUGCAAGAAACAGAAGAGUGGUAUCGGUCCAAGUUUGCAGACCUCACAGACGUUGCUUCCCGCAACGCAGAGCUGCUCCGCCAGGCCAAGCACGAGGCUAAUGACUAUCGCCGCCAACUGCAGGCCUUGACCUGCGACCUUGAGUCCUUGCGCGGCACGAACGAGUCCUUGGAGAGGCAAAUGCGCGAACAGGAGGAGCGCCACGCGCGGGAGUCGGCGAGUUACCAGGAGGCACUCGCUCGGCUGGAGGAGGAGGGCCAAAGCCUCAAGGAGGAGAUGGCCCGCCACCUGCAGGAGUACCAGGAUCUACUCAACGUUAAGCUAGCCCUGGACAUCGAGAUCGCCACCUACAGGAAAUUGCUGGAGGGCGAAGAAAACCGCAUCACCAUUCCUGUACAGACUUUCUCCAACCUCCAGAUCCGAGGUCAGUAUAGUGGGGCCUUGUGGGAAAGGGUAAUGAAUCCCCUCCUCCUCCCCCAGGCCUGUGAACUGCUCUCAUGGACUGGGAGGCAAAGAGACCCACGCUCUCCUUGAGAGCCUUCGUGACCCUCCACGGAGACCCUAGAUGGAGUGCAGAAUCUUAGGGCUUAUAGCUGGUCCCUGCCUCCCUCUGCCCUGUGUCCCCAUCCCCUGCGAAACCCAACAGGGUCUCAACUGAUGCCAGGUCUGCAAGCCAUGAACAAGCUCCGCCCUUCUAAGUGUUUUGUGUUCUUG